GGAGAGGUGACCGAGAGGCCGAAGGUGUCUGAUUCGAAAUCAGAUGUAGCGCAAGCUACCGCGGGUUCGAAUCCCGCCCUCUCCUCUA
rnacentral:tRNA from 1 species